UACGUAGGGUGCAAGCGUUGUCCGGAAUUAUUGGGCGUAAAGAGCUCGUAGGCGGUUCGUCGCGUCGGCUGUGAAAUCCCGGGGCUCAACCCCGGGCCUGCAUCCGAUACUCCCGGGCUGGAGGCAGGGUAGGGGAGAUCGGAAUUCCUGGUGUAGCGGUGAAAUGCGCAGAUAUCAGGAGGAACACCGGUGGCGAAGGCGGAUCUCUGGGCCUUGCCUGGACGCUGGAGGCGCGAAAGCUAGGGGAGCGAACAGG
rnacentral:rRNA from 1 species